rnacentral:rRNA from 1 species
CAAUAGCGUAUAUUUAAGUUGUUGCAGUUAAAAAGCUCGUAGUUGGAUUUCGGAUGGGACUUGCCGGUCCGUCGUUUCGAUGUGCACUGGCCAGUCCUAUCUUGUUGUCGGGGACUAGCUCCUGGGCUUCACUGUCCGGGACUAGGAGCUGACGAGGUUACUUUGAGUAAAUUAGAGUGUUCAAAGCAAGCCUACGCUCUGAAUACAUUAGCAUGGAAUAACACGAUAGGACUCUGGCUUAUCUUGUUGGUCUGUGAGACCAGAGUAAUGAUUAAGAGGGACAGUCGGGGGCAUUCGUAUUUCAUUGUCAGAGGUGAAAUUCUUGGAUUUAUGAAAGACGAACUUCUGCGAAGGCAUUUGUCAAGGAUGUUUUCAUUAA